GACGAACGCUGGCGGCGUGCUUAACACAUGCAAGUCGAGCGGUAAGGCCCUCGGGUACGACGAGCGGCGAACGGGUGAGUAACACGUGGGUGACCUGCCUCUAGCUCUGGGAUAAGCCUGGGAAACGUGGGUCUAAUACCGGAUAUGACUCCACGGCGCAUGUUGUGGGGUGGAAAGCCUUGUGUGGCUAGAGAUGGGCCCGCGGCCUAUCAGCUUGUUGGGUGGGGG
rnacentral:rRNA from 1 species